CCUACGGGGCGCAGCAGUGAGGAAUAUUGGUCAAUGGUCGGGAGACUGAACCAGCCAAGCCGCGUGAGGGAGGAAGGUACAGAGUAUCGUAAACCUCUUUUGUCAGGGAACAAAGACUGGGACGCGUCCCCGGAUGAGUGUACCUGAAGAAAAAGCAUCGGCUAACUCCGUGCCAGCAGCCGCGGUAAUACGGAGGAUGCGAGCGUUAUCCGGAUUUACUGGGUGUAAAGGGUGCGUAGGCGGGUAAGCAAGUCAGAAGUGAAAUCCAUGGGCUUAACCCAUGAACUGCUUUUUAAACUGUUUCU
rnacentral:rRNA from 1 species